UACGUAGGGUGCGAGCGCUAAUCGGAAUUACUGGGCGUAAAGCGUGCGCAGGCGGUUCGCUAAGACCGAUGUGAAAUCCCCGGGCUUAACCUGGGAACUGCAUUGGUGACUGGCGGGCUAGAGUAUGGCAGAGGGGGGUAGAAUUCCACGUGUAGCAGUGAAAUGCGUAGAGAUGUGGAGGAAUACCGAUGGCGAAGGCAGCCCCCUGGGCCAAUACUGACGCUCAUGCACGAAAGCGUGGGGAGCAAACAGG
rnacentral:rRNA from 1 species